UACAGAGGUCUCAAGCGUUGUUCGGAUUCAUUGGGCGUAAAGGGUGCGUAGGCGGCGCGGUAAGUCGGGUGUGAAAUCUCGGAGCUUAACUCCGAUACUGCAUUCGAUACUGCCGUGCUUGAGGACUGGAGAGGAGACUGGAAUUUACGGUGUAGCGGUGAAAUGCGUAGAUAUCGUAAGGAAGACCAGUGGCGAAGGCGGGUCUCUGGACAGUUCCUGACGCUGAGGCACGAAGGUCAGGGGAGCAAACGGG
rnacentral:rRNA from 1 species